rnacentral:misc_RNA from 1 species
AAGAUGGAUCCACAACUGAAGAACAAAGUGGUGAUUAUAACAGGAGCAAGUUCCGGAUUUGGGAGAGGUACAGCCGUACAAUUUUCUAGACUAGGGUGCAGGUUGGCUCUGAUUGCCAGAAGAAAGGAAUUACUCGAAGAGGUUGCUGCGGAAUGCCGCGCUCAAGGAGCACCGCAGGUUUUAGUUUGUUGUCGUGAUGUGUCUAUUGAAGAGGAAUGUGUUGCAGUUGUUCAAGAGAUAUUUCAAGCUUUCCAUGGAAUUGACGUCCUUGUUAACAAUGCUGGAUGUCUUUCCAAGAGAUCGACUUUGGUAGAAGCCACGACUGAGGAUUUUGACAAAGUAAUGAAUAUUAACACUAGAUCUAUAAUGACGCUAACUCAACAGUGUAUUCCACAUCUCACUAAAUCUAAGGGUUCUGUAGUGAAUGUCUCCUCUAUUCUUGGGACCCAUGCUGUCCCAGGGUUAGCUCCAUACAAUAUGAGUAAAGCUGCACUGGAUAUGCUUACAAGGAUAUCAUCUCUAGAAUUGGCCGAAGUGGGAGUAAGGGUUAACAGUGUUAACCCAGGGGUGGUAUAUACUGAGAUUUUUGACAACUUAGGCAUGAGUGCCACUGAGAUGGAAGAAUUUUUGAAGAAAGGUUGCGACAUGCAUCCAAUGGGACGUCUUGGGACCAUUGAAGAGGUUGCAAACGCAAUAAUCUUCCUGGCUUCAAGUCUAUCCUCAUUUACCACAGGCCAGCUGCUGUAUGUUGAUGGAGGUUUUCACAAUACCACCAGCACCAAGUCCUGGCAUUUCUAAUCUGGAACCUUAAAUGGACUGUAGAUGUAAACUUAUAAGUUAUAAAUGCUAUUUGCAGCUUAAAAGUUUAGUACGAUCGUGGGUCGUUUUUAAAAACAAUCGCUUUUUCCUGAAAACGAAAAGAUCGUUUUUGAAAACGAUUGAAAACAAACAAAAAAUGAUCGUUUAACGAUCGUUUUCAAAAACGAUUAGAAACUCUAUUUACAGCGACAUGGCUGCACUACAGUUCUAUAAAAACAAGAGCAGCAAACGUGCAGUACAUUUUUAAUCAUUUUAAGCAUAAUUAUUGUUUCAUGUUUCAUUUAUUUUCUAAGCU